ensembl:snoRNA
ACCCUUGUGUGGUCCACAAGUGUGCUGGUGGGGCUUUCACACUCACAGGCAUGCUUCUUUCAAACCUUGUGAAGAUAUCUGCACAUUAGCCAUCUGACA